UACGAAGGGGGCUAGCGUUGCUCGGAAUUACUGGGCGUAAGGCGCACGUAGGCGGCUUGUUAAGUCGGAGGUGAAAUCCUGGAGCUCAACUCCAGAACUGCCUUCGAUACUGGCGAGCUUGAGUUCGGGAGAGGUGAGUGGAACUGCGAGUGUAGAGGUGAAACUCGUAGAUAUUCGCAAGAACACCAGUGGCGAAGGCGGCUCACUGGCCCGAUACUGACGCUGAGGUGCGAAAGCGUGGGGAGCAAACAGG
rnacentral:rRNA from 1 species